GUCACGGUGCCAGAGUGGUUAAUGGGUAAGACUUGAAAUCUUAUGGCUUCGGCCUCGCAAGUUCAAAUCUUGUCCGUGACG
rnacentral:tRNA from 1 species